rnacentral:rRNA from 1 species
GUUUACAACUCCCAAACCCAAUGUGAACGUUACCAAACUGUUGCCUCGGCGGGAUCUCUGCCCCGGGUGCGUCGCAGCCCCGGACCAAGGCGCCCGCCGGAGGACCAACCAAAACUCUUUUUGUAUACCCCCUCGCGGGUUUUUUAUAAUCUGAGCCUUCUCGGCGCCUCUCGUAGGCGUUUCGAAAAUGAAUCAAAACUUUCAACAACGGAUCUCUUGGUUCUGGCAUCGAUGAAGAACGCAGCGAAAUGCGAUAAGUAAUGUGAAUUGCAGAAUUCAGUGAAUCAUCGAAUCUUUGAACGCACAUUGCGCCCGCCAGUAUUCUGGCGGGCAUGCCUGUCCGAGCGUCAUUUCAACCCUCGAACCCCUCCGGGGGGUCGGGGUUGGGGAUCGGCCCUCCCUUAGCGGGUGGCCGUCUCCGAAAUACAGUGGCGGUCUCGCCGCAGCCUCUCCUGCGCAGUAGUUUGCACACUCGCAUCGGGAGCGCGGCGCGUCCACAGCCGUUAAACACCCAACUUCUGAAAUGUUGACCUCGGAUCAGGUAGGAAUACCCGCUGAACUUAAGCAUAUCAAUAAGCGGAGGAAAAGAAACCAACAGGGAUUGCCCCAGUAACGGCGAGUGAAGCGGCAACAGCUCAAAUUUGAAAUCUGGCCCCUAGGGUCCGAGUUGUAAUUUGUAGAGGAUGCUUUUGGUGAGGUGCCGCCCGAGUUCCCUGGAACGGGACGCCACAGAGGGUGAGAGCCCNCGUCUGGCUGGCCGCCGAGCCUCUGUAAAGCUCCUUCGACGAGUCGAGUAGUUUGGGGAAUGCUGCUCAAAAUGGGANGUAUAUGUCUUCUAAA